UACGAAGGGGGCUAGCGUUGCUCGGAAUGACUGGGCGUAAAGGGCGCGUAGGCGGCGGCCAAAGUCAGGCGUGAAAUUCCUGGGCUCAACCUGGGGGCUGCGUUUGAUACUUGGUUGCUUGAGUGGGGAAGAGGGUCGUGGAAUUCCCAGUGUAGAGGUGAAAUUCGUAGAUAUUGGGAAGAACACCGGUGGCGAAGGCGGCGACCUGGUCCUUUACUGACGCUGAGGCGCGAAAGCGUGGGGAGCAAACAGG
rnacentral:rRNA from 1 species